AUACGUAGGUGGCAAGCGUUGUCCGGAAUUAUUGGGCGUAAAGCGCGCGCAGGUGGUUCCUUAAGUCUGAUGUGAAAGCCCCCGGCUCAACCGGGGAGGGUCAUUGGAAACUGGGGAACUUGAGUGCAGAAGAGGAUAGUGGAAUUCCAAGUGUAGCGGUGAAAUGCGUAGAGAUUUGGAGGAACACCAGUGGCGAAGGCGACUGUCUGAUCUGUAACUGACACGGAGGCGCGAAAGCGUGGGGAGCAAACAGGAUUAGAUACCCUGGUAGUCCACGCCGUAAACGAUGAGUGCUAAGUGUUGGGGGGUUUCCGCCCCUCAGUGCUGCAGCUAACGCAUUAAGCACUCCGCCUGGGGAGUACGGUCGCAAGACUGAAACUCAAAUGAAUUGGCGGG
rnacentral:rRNA from 1 species